GCCUUUCCUAACUAAUCAGUAAAUGAACCCAAAAAAGACAAAUAAAAAGAUCCAUUUAAAUAAAUCCAAACAUGAUACAGCUUUCUGGGACACUCUGAAGCCAAUAAACAACAGGGCCUUUAUUUAGCUGACCCUUAUAUUCCCAUCCCAUUUCUAGUAUCUUCCCUAUAUUUGUUUGUGCGUCUAUCCAUCUAAUUGCCAAACUCUCUCUUCUUCUUAAUUGAAUUUGUAAGAAAAGAACUGCUGACUGUCUUAUCUUCCUUUCUCUCUUUCUGCUAUCUGAACCGCGUGCCGACCAUAUCAGUUCUCAAACACCCAACGACGUGGAGCUCUUCCAAACUCAAACCUGGGAUAUAUCCGGUUGGGUCAGGCAAAACCAGAGGAGGUGCCGAAGGGACACUUGGCUGUGUAGGUGGAAGAAUCAAUUGGUGACAAGCGGCGGGAAGUGGUGCCUGUAAUAUACUUCAAU
rnacentral:misc_RNA from 1 species